CCCGUUUUAAUUAAAAUUGACCAAACACCCUCAGUUUAACCUAGGACCACUGUUCGUUGUCUCUCUCAUAUCUUAUCUCUCCAACGCCUGUCACCCGCCGGAUUUCGUCAUCGGCGGUGGUGGAGCUCCAAACUCCCCCAAAAAUUGACCAUACACUCCCUAUACUCUCUCAAACACUAGGCAGAUAUCGAUUUCCCCAAAAUCUCCACCAGUCUCUCUUAAUUUCAGAUCUAAAAAUAAAACCAUAGACUUGUUCCUGUCCUUGAUGCAUCAUGCAAAGGCUUGGGUUCAUGUUCUCCAAUCUUUUAAGACAAAUUUACCCUGAAAUGAGUGUUAGUCGGUUUUUCUCACAAGAACAAUCGAUUAAAACUCAUUUUGGUUUAAAUCGGAAAAACAGGGAUGUUGCCUAAUCUAAGUCGUUUGUCCGCUAAGUAUUAGGUAUUUCCAUUCUCUUGUUUCAUUUUCUGUCUCUCUGUUACCCUCCUUUCUUUAUGCUCUUCUCCUAUUCUUCAAGAAUAAAACAAUUUUAGUUGUCCUUUUUUUGUGCUUGCCCUUAGAGUUAUUUAGUCUGUCAAAUUUUCUUUAAACGUCUUAACAUGGUUUAGUUUUGUUAGGCCUUUAAAUCAGUGUCAUUCUUUACUGAUUAGUUCUAAUUUCUUUAUUUAGUUUUGUUACGAUUCUUUGGUCCAGAUGAGUUGGCUAAUUGUGGUUAUUUUUUUAUUUUGUUUAGUCAGAUUAUUGUUAUUUCCUUCUUCUUUCGAAAAUUGCUUUGUUUGGGCUUUGUAUUGGUUUGGGGCCUGCCUUGCAUGCAGGCGGUCCCAUUAGCACUAAGGCCCAACGGGUUGUGGUAGUUUUGGAAUUUUCAGUUGUUUAAAAGGUUUCAAUUUCUAGUUGUGUCGGAAGGUAAAGAGAAGGUGUUUAAAGGGUAAUUAGGGGAUUUGUAGAAAGGGAAUCUUUUAAAAACUGCCAAGGAAGGUGGGGAUUGAGGUGAACUACUGAAUAGUUUAGAAAAUCAUGGUCCAAAAUGAAAAGAUGAAAAUUGGGGAAGGGGUAAAAAGUAAAGGAAUGAGAUCAAUUUUACUGCACGAAUAUUUGGCUAUAAAGGGCUCAUUUACUCCAUUUAAUACAUAUGGAUUAGAGGUCAAAACAUAGAAAUGGCUGAAAGAUUUCCACUCUCAUUUUCUCUGUAUUAACCUUCUGAAAAGGCCAUUUCCUUAAUCUGAAAAAAUACUACUAAAAAUUUGUAACGACCUGAUCGGUCAUUAUGAGCUCUAGCGCCUCGUUCAGCUGUCUGAGGCAAUGAGCAGCUUCAUUACAGGUACUGUGACUUGCACGCAUGGUCGGAAUUAAAAUUCGGGAAGACGGGGUUAAACUUAAAUGGAGAUUCUCAUUUCAGAAGCAUUAAGCUGAAAGAAUGAACUGGGAUUGGAGUUUUGAGUAAACGACCUUGGAAUCGGGAUCUGAAAGUUCCAGCAGGUUCAUAUGACAAUUUCGGACUUGGGCGUAUACCCGGUUCAUGUUUUGGAUAACCCGGGAGCGUUUUGGUGCUUAUUGUGGAAGUUAGCAUUUUGGAAGAAAUUUCUCAAGUUUGGCUUGAAGUGCAUUUCAGCGUUAUCGAUGUCCGUUUUGAAUUCCGGGUCUGGGAGUAGCUCUGUAUGGUGAUUCUGGAGAUGAGACUAUGAUUGGAAGUGAAUUCGGAGGUCCGUAAGUCAUUUUGAAGCCGUUUGGCUAAAGAUAGAAUUUUGAAGGUUUUUGAGAAGUUUAACCGGAAGUGAACUUUUUGAUAUCAGGGUCGAAAUCUGAUUCCGAAAGUUGGAGUAGGUCUGUAAUGUCAAACGGCUUGUGUACAAAUUUUGAGGUCAAUCGGGCAUGAUUUGAUAGGUUUAAACAUCGGAAGUAGAAGUUGGAAAAUUUAAAGUUCAUAAAGCUUGAAUCGGGAUGUAAUUCAUGGUUUUAGCGUUGUUUGAUGUGAUUUGAGGCCUCAAGCAAGUCCUUAUUGUGUUUUGCGAUUGGUUGGUAUGAUUGGUUGGAGUCGCAGAGGCCUCGUGUGAAUUCCGGGUGGUUAACGGAUUGAAACUUGGAAAUUAAGAAAAUGAAGCAGCCUCUGGUGUUUUCGCUUCUACGGAAAUGGGACCGUAGAAUCGGCCACACAGAAGCAAGGAGGAAGCCGCAGAAGUGGUUGAGCAUGAGGGUAGCCAGGACCGCAGAAGCAGCCAUUGAUCCGUUGAUGCAGAACCACAGAUGCGGUUGGCUGACCGCAGAAGCGAAAGGUGGGAUGGAGCCCCUGGUCCGCAGAAGAGAAAGGUGAGUCUCCUUUCAAAUCUUGUCAGGGGGAAUUCACCCCAUAGGUGAGUUAAAUUGGUUAUGUGUUCCUAGUUAUGGAGGCUAUAUACGCACGAGGUAACGAGAGCCCGUGUGUAGCUACUAUUAUGCUAUUGUUCGGGUAGUCUAGGACCCAAAAGUAUGUUACACUUGGAUUAUUUGUGAACCCAUUGAUGGCUUGAAUUGCCUAAAUCACAUUAAAUUAGUAAAUGAAUUUCAAAGGGAUUAAGCCUCAUUUCUUAAAAUUGUUAAAGGAG
rnacentral:lncRNA from 1 species